rnacentral:rRNA from 1 species
UACGAAGGGGGCUAGCGUUGUUCGGAAUUACUGGGCGUAAAGCGCACGUAGGCGGGUUUGUAAGUAGGGGGUGAAAUCCCAGGGCUCAACCCUGGAACUGCCUUCUAAACUGCAAGCCUGGAGGUCAGGAGAGGCGAGUGGAAUACCGAGUGUAGAGGUGAAAUUCGUAGAUAUUCGGUGGAACACCAGUGGCGAAGGCGACUCGCUGGACUGAUACUGACGCUGAGGUGCGAAAAGCGUGGGGGAGCAAACAGG